rnacentral:rRNA from 1 species
CCUACGGGUGGCUGCAGUCGAGAAUCAUUCACAAUGGGGGAAACCCUGAUGGUGCGACGCCGCGUGGGGGAAUGAAGGUCUUCGGAUUGUAAACCCCUGUCAUGUGGGAACAAAUUAAAAAGAUAGUACCACAAGAGGAAGAGACGGCUAACUCUGUGCCAGCAGCCGCGGUAAUACAGAGGUCUCAAGCGUUGUUCGGAAUCACUGGGCGUAAAGGGAGCGUAGGCGGUUUCGUAAGUCGGGUGUGAAAGCCGUGGGCUCAACCCGCGGACGGCACAUGAUACUGCGAGACUUGAGUAAAGGAGGGGGGAGUGGAAUUCUCGGUGUAGCAGUGAAAUGCGUAGAUAUCGAGAGGAACACUAGUGGCGAAGGCGGGUUCCUGGACAUUAACUGACGCUGAGGCACGAAGGCCAGGGGAGCGAAAGGGAUUAGAUACCCGGGUAGUC